UGGUUGAAAACGACACCGUUAUGUAAUGCACGGAUUGAUUUCCUUUCAAGUCUUCGUCUCUCUAAUCCUCUUCACUCUUCAGUCAAUCACUCUCUCAACUCUCAACUCUCGUCUCUGGCUCUCAUCUCUCAACUCUCGAGUCUCUCGAAUCCUCUUCACAUUCUCUCAACUCUCAUCUCUCAACUCUCAAACUCUCAACUUUUUUGAAUCCAAAACCCUAGCCAUGCGAUUGCAAUUGUGAAACCUACAAGUGGGAGAAGACAUUACAAAUUAUUGGCAUUGUUGGCCUUGGACAGGCAAGAUAAAUGGAAGGAAUGCUGAUUCUUUAUCUAUUAAAAUAGAUGAACCUAAACCUGAUGUGAUGGUAAAUGAAUUGUUCUCAGCGGAUCCUACUGGUGGAGGCGGAAAUCUUGGAAGUGAGCAAAUAUUGGGCUUGAAUAUUGUUUUGACCUCUGAUGUUCACCCUGGGAUGAAUGCAAUGUUUAAAAUUCAAGAUGUGAAGAGUAGUUGCAUUGUAUUAGUUUAAUUAGUUAUGAUGUAUUAUUAUUUAUUUUGUUCUUUGUAAAUUUAUGUUUUGCAUUGUGAUGUAAACAACAAUAUUAUGUAUUUUGCAUUUUUAUUUA